CUCCCAGGGACAGAGUCCUCCACGGCCCAGCCAGGCGAGUUAUCCCCAGCGUCCCUGGAAUGACCCGUGGCAGGGGGAGCACUCCCAGGGCACUGGCAGGUAGAACAGAGCCGGUCCCAGGAUGGAGAGUCCCAGCACAGCCCGGCUCCCCACGGUUCCACCAGCGCCCGCCUCACGUGAGGGCCCACGCUCGGCCUCUCUCUGAGCCGUCAGGGUUGGGCACCGCGACCUGGUGUGCCCCCACCUGAUGCCCCCAUCCCGACCCUCGGGGAUGCCCGGGCCCCCCAGGAUCCGGGGGUUCUCCACCCGGCAGCUGGGCGGUUCCCACCUCCCAGUGAAGCCCCAUUUCUGGUAACAGGAGGGACACUGGGCCAGCCGGCGGCAGGAGGAGGCCGGGAGGAUUUAUGCAGAAGUCAACCAGGAACUUCCGCAUAAGCUCUUUUUUAUCUAACAGAUAAAGGCUUCACUGCAAAUCUUCACUGCACCACCAGAGCUCAGAGAGAAGCGUACACACGACGAAUGUCUGACACAAACGUGCUGACGUUCUUCUCUGCGAUCGAAGGUCUGAAGGCUCGGCUUCAGUGCAUCAGCGUGAAGAUCUGUGAAGAUCCCAGCCUUGUGUGACUGAGUUAAGUGUACCGCGAUCUGGAAGGACUGCACACGCUAAUGGAUUUGGAUUUGUAACCUGAAGCCUGGCUUUGGAAGCUGCUUCGUCAUCCACAGGCAUGGCUCCCUAUCAGAGAGCCGCAGACUGAGGAUGUGGGUGCCGGCGUGAACCCGGACGCUGGUGUUCUCCACUCCACGUGAAGCCAGAGGUGCUGUCUAAUGAAGUGGAAAGUCUGGCAGAACUUCCAGAAGGAAGGCCUGAGACGGGGUGACAACAGCCCAGGGUCCUGUGUCCAGAUGAGGGGAGCACAGCAGAAGCCGACCUCCAGCUGGCACAGACCGGAAGGUGCCCCACCUGAUGCCAGACCUCCCCCUGCAUUCAUCCGGAACCCAGCCCACAUUCUCGGUGUGUAACCCGAGACAGACCGACAGACAGGGCCUGACCCUCUGACCUCCUCAGCGUCCAU
rnacentral:lncRNA from 1 species